GAUGAAGAACGUAGCGAAAUGCGAUAAGUAAUGUGAAUUGCAGAAUUCAGUGAAUCAUCGAGUCUUUGAACGCACAUUGCGCCCCCUGGUAUUCCGGGGGGCAUGCCUGUCCGAGCGUCAUUGCUGCCCUCAAGCACGGCUUGUGUGUUGGGCCCCCGUCCCCGGUUUCCCCCGGGGACGGGCCCGAAAGGCAGCGGCGGCACCGCGUCCGGUCCUCGAGCGUAUGGGGCUUUGUCACCCGCUCUGUAGGCCCGGCCGGCGCCAGCCGACACCCAACUUUAUUUCUAAGGUUGACCUCGGAUCAGGUAGGGAUACCCGCUGAACUUAAGCAUAUCAAUAAGCGGA
rnacentral:misc_RNA from 1 species